UUGAUUACGUCCCUGCCCUUUGUACACACCGCCCGUCGCUGCCCGGGACUGAGUCAUUUCGAGAAACUUGAGGACCGUCAGCUUCCUGGUUUCGGCCACCUGUUGAUGGAAAUCAAUUUAAUCGCAGUGACUUGAACCGGGCAAAAGUCGUAACAAGGUAGCUGUAGGUGAACCUGCUGCUGGAUCAUUACGCACAAGAAUGUAAUGUUCAAAUGUUUUAACUAGCCACUUGUUUGUUGCAUGUCUGGGAAACAAACAAGUGGCACGCAACUCGUUGUUUGGAUGGUGCGACGAGGUUGUGAACGGCUAACGCUGGCGUCUGUGUGUUGUUGAGCAAUUGUUUUUCGUCCGUGGUUGUGAUGAGGCAACAUGGUAGGGCCCGUGCUGAAAAUGAGAAUGCGCAUGUGGUUUAAGACUUAAUGAGCCCCCAGGCAAGUGGGCCGCCAGCAACCCCAUUUUUUCAAUAUUUUUUUUUUGUAAAAUAAAUUCUAAUCUUAUCGGUGGAUCACUCGGCUCGUGGGUCGAUAAAGAACGCAGCUAACUGCGAUACAUCGUGCGAACUGCAGAAACAUUGAGCACAAAAGUUUCGAAUGCACAUUGCGCCAUUGGAUUCACAUCCUCUGGCACGCCUUGUUCAGGGUCAUAACCAAAAAAAUCAAAACGAUAUCUGUGUGAUAGAUUAUGGGCGACUCAUGUGUGUUUUUAAAAAAUGUGUUGUGUAUCCAUGAAUAAUUGAGGAGGCAGGAUUUGUUGAUGUUGAUCAAAGACGAUGUAAAGAGCAAUGGAUUUAUUGCCUCUGGCAAAAUUGUCAAUAUUAUUUGUGACCUGAACUCAGACGUGAUCACCCGCUGAACUUAAGCAUAUCAGUAAGCGGAGGAAAAGAAACUAACAAGGGAUUCCCUUAGUAACGGCGAGUGAAA
rnacentral:rRNA from 1 species